rnacentral:rRNA from 1 species
UUAUGUUUUUUUUUUUUUUUUUAUUGUGGUAGCUGACAAAAUAUUGGGACAUACAAAUAAAGAAACAUUUGCGGCCUGCGGUGCAUUUCUUGCAGUCCUGAUGCAUGUAGAAAUGUUUUCAUAUAUAUAUAUUUUAGUUGGGGUAGCCCACAAAAUAUUGGGACAUAUAAAAAAAGACAACUCUGUUCCGAAGAGUAGCUGUUGACAUUAUAGUUGCGCAGGAACUUUGUUGACUCUAGAGAACCUCGGGCAAAUCCAUAUCAACUUUCGAUGCCAAUUUCUGCGCCUACCAUGGCGACCAUGGGUAAUGGGGAAUCAGGGUUCCAUUCCGUACAGGGACCCUGAGAAACAUCUACCACAUGCAAGGAAGGCAGCAGGCGCGCAAAUGACCCACUCCCUACAAGGGAAGGUAGAGACGACAAAUAACAAUACAGGACUCUUUAGAGACCCUGUAGUUGUAAUGAGUCCACUUGAAAUCCUUUAACUCUGAUCAAUUGGAGGGAAGUCUGGUGCAGAGCCACUGACCCAUGCGUGCUGCAGCUGAAACGUAA